CGUCUAUAUACGUAUAGCAUAUCAAUAAGCGGAGGAAAAGAAACUAACAAGGAUUCCCUUAGUAACGGCGAGUGAAGCGGGAAGAGCUCAAAUUUGAAAUCUUCAAGGUUCUACCUUGACGAAUUGUAGCUUAAAGAAGUGUUUUCUGUUAGAGGAGUAGGCAGAAGUUCCUUGGAAUAGGGACAUCAUAGAGGGUGAGAAUCCCGUAUUUGGUUAUUCUUUCUAGCUUUGUGAUACACUUUCAAAGAGUCGGAUUGUUUGGGAAUGCAGUCCAAAAUGGGUGGUAAAUUUCAUCUAAAGCUAAAUAUUGGCGAGAGACCGAUAGCGAACAAGUACCGUGAGGGAAAGAUGAAAAGAACUUUGAAAAGAGAGUUAAACAGUACGUGAAAUUGUCAAAAGGGAAGCGUUUGACACCAGUGUUGUUUUUCCGAAAAUCAAUUAAGAGUGGCUUGAUUUUGUGUUGUAUUGACCUUAUCAGCUUUCUUCACUCUUUUUCGAGUCUUUCUUAAUGCACUUUUCGGUUAACAAGUCAACAUCAAUUUCUUUUGUUGUAAAAGGGUAUUUGGAAGGUGGCUUUCUUUUCGGAGAAAGUGUUUAUAGCCUUAUACCUCUACAAUCGGAGAGAUUGAGGUCUGCAGCGUAGAUCCUUCGGGGCUAGAUACGCUUGUGCUAAGUUAUAGCUUUUCAUAGACAACUUGUUGACUAUGUUUAGUCAUAGUAGCUUACCCGCUUGUGCUAUUUUACCUACGCUUAGGAUGUUGAGUCAUCACACAUCUCU
rnacentral:rRNA from 1 species